UUCUCAUUUAUUUUAUUUGCACUUGCACCUUUCCGCCAUCUGGUGGUGAUUUGUGAAUAGGAACUUAAUUAGAGAAUAACUGUUCUACUCGAUGCUUUUUGGAUGACGCAAUCAUUAAGCGAGGGAGAAGAAAAGGCGAGCGAGCGGUCGGAUGGUAGCUAACUCCGUGCUGCUCUUUUUUGGUUGUUCAAACUCCUAAAAAGACUGCAUUAAGAAGUUUGGAGAAGAACUUUUUAGCUCCUUGUGGAUGUGAGCCCACGAGUUCUCACGGGUUGCCAAGGCUUUUCAAGAGUUGUCAAGAGCGAAUUAAACCCUGUUUUUUAAUCAAACUUCGUGUCGUGCUCGUUGCAACAUCCGGAGGGAGCUUCAGUGAGAACUCUCCAACUCCGACGCAUGGUUUGAUGAGGAAGACUGUGCCAGGGCGAGUGAGAGCUGUUCAACUCGGCGCAUGGUUUGACGAGGAAGGCGGUGCCAGAGCGAGAGCGAACGACCAUCGUGCCGCCAUCUUAAAUGACGACGUUAACUCCACCUUCACGAGUGUGACAAGAUAAGCCACUUUUGAAAACAAUCUUGAGUCAUUUCAUGGUGUAAAAAAAAAAAAGGAAAAAAAAAAAAAAGAGAAAAAAUUGUUGUCAAAGGACUGUAAUAUAACGUAUUCACUAUUUCAUACACUGUUUUAUUCACUGUUAUAUGUGAGUUUAAUUGUUUUUCCAUUCAUUUUUGGGGUGAUUUAAAUAGCAAAUGUUUAAUUGCUUUAGAAAUAAGAAGUUAUAGUGUGUAAGGUGUAAUUGUUGACUAAUGUAUGUGUAACUAUAUUUCUUGAAAUUGAAUCUUUAAUUUCCAUUUGAAAAUAAGGCAGUUUACUGUGUAUGUAAAUUCUAGCAGUAAUUGUAAGUGACAAAACAUUUUCAAAAUAUAGCCAAUUCAAAUAUUGCGUUUUUUCACAAUAAGUUUCAAGCAAAUCAAACGUAAGUCAAACUAAUAAUGGCAACGUUUGAGUCUCGGUCAAAAAGCAGAGAUAGUGAUAUUGAGCAACCACUUUCAAGUGAAGGUGCCAAAAUUGACGUACUUACAACUCAACAAGAGCAACAAAGGAGCCAAAGAACCCGCAAGCUGACGGAAAAGGGCCAAGAGCUGCACGAUGAGCUUGUAAGUAAAGCUACACGUCGAUUUGGUGUUUUCUACGCAAAGUGGAAAGAUGCUGCUAAGGAUGCGAAGAAAGCCUUGAAUGAAGGAUGCUCAGAAGAUCUCUUGCGUGAAAUUGUAAACAAUGUUACGGAAGUUUCCAAAAUUGUGAACACAACUUAUGAUGAGUUAAGACGCAUUGAUUUUCCUGAUAAUGACACAAGACGAAGAAUGGACACAUGUGAAGCAGUGACGAAGACAAUUAUUCAAUCUGCUGAAGAGUGUUUAGAAAUGAAAAAAAUGGGAAAUUACGAAGAAAAAGUAAAAACUGAAUUUGCGUUCAGUUCUGCAAAUUCUGAAAUGAUGAGCAUCAAAUCAUACAUCACAAAGUCUUCAAGUCACUCGAAGGUUUCAAAACAUUCUAGUCUGAGUUCUGCUAAAAGACAAGAUGCAGCUGCUGAAGUUGCAGCCAAUGAAGCAGUCUUGGAAGUUCUGCUUGAACAAGAAAGCCAUAUUAAAGAAAUGGAAAGACAAGAAGCAGAAAUAGCAGAAAGACAAAGAAUGUUGGAAGCAAAGCGAAGAGAACUAGAGCGGCUAGAGACUAUCAAGAAGCUGAAAGCAGCUAAGGCAAGACAACAAGUAUAUGAGCAAAGCGCAUGUUCAGAUGAAGAAAUACAUGAGCUGCUUCAUUCAAAUUUCAAGCAACAAAAUGAAGUAAAAUCGAAUAUAAGUGAUUCACAUUGUAAAUCCUGCUCAUCAACUCAAAAUGUGUCUCAUCCAAAACAAGAUAUAAGUACUAAAGAGCUUGUCAAAGUCAUUGCUGAGUCAAUAAGUUGUAGUCGACUUCCUGUACCGGAACCAGCAAUGUUCAGUGGGGAUCCACUCAGAUAUAAAGAUUGGAAAAAUUCCUUUAAGACUCUCAUUGACAGGAAAAAUAUUCCAGCUGAAGAGAAGACAUAUUACCUGCGGAAAUAUGUGAGCGGACCUGCCAGAAAAGCCAUAGAAAGCUACUUUCUGUUGGGCACAGAAUCAGCCUACAAUGCUGCAUGGGCAGUCCUUGACGAAAGGUAUGGCAAUCCAUUCCUUAUAUCCAAAGCAUUCAGAGACAAACUUGAUGCAUGGCCAAAAAUAAGCACAAAGGGCAGUAUAGAGUUACAAGAGUUUGCUGAUUUUCUUCGAAGUUGCAAGUCAGCCAUGUCAGAGAUUAAAGGACUUGAAAUACUCAAUGACUGCAAUGAAAAUCAAAAGAUGCUGUCAAAGCUGCCAGACUGGCUUACAUCAAGAUGGAAUCGGAAGGUGACUGAAACACAAGAGCAAAGUCAAACAUUUCCAAGCUUCAGCCAGUUUGUUGAGUUCCUCAACAUUGAAGCAAAAAUUGCAUGUAACCCCAUAACAUCUCUCCAUGCUCUGAAACCAAGUGAAGCUGAUAAGAUAAAAGUCGUUAAAAGCAGAAACUACGAAACAAAGGUUUUGGCAACUAACACAAAUGAAAAGACUUUCAAUGUAAGUUGCAUCUUCUGCGAGAAAGCUGGCCACAGCCUACAGAAGUGUUGGAAGUUCAUGAACAAACCAAUCAGUCAAAGACUUGCAUUAGUCCAAGAAAAGAAGUUAUGCUUUGGAUGCCUAAAGUCUGGCCAUCGCUCAAAGGAUUGUGAAGGAAGAGAAACAUGCGACACUUGCAGUAAAAAACACCCAACCUGUCUUCAUGACGACCAAGCGAAAGAAGUGAGAGUGCAAGCAAGGACCAAAAAGACAAACAGUAGUAACACUUCAAAUUCAAGACAAACAGAAUGUGCACCAAACGACAAUAAUAUUCCACAAACAAGUGCAGCAACAUCUAACAGAAUUAUGCAAAAUGAUGAAGACACUCAUACGUCUUCCAUCAUCCCAGUAUGGCUGUCAAAUGAAAAAGAGCCAGAGAAUGAAGUUCUUGUGUAUGCACUUCUUGAUACACAAAGUGACACAACUUUCAUACUUGAGGAAACUGCAAGAUCUCUGAACACCACGCUUCAACCAGUCCAACUAAAGCUCACCACAAUGUCUACAAGAAAUGCCGUGAUAGCUUGUCACAAGAUAUCUGGUUUGCAAGUGAGAGGAUUUUAUUCAAAUAAAUUAAUUCCUCUACCUGAUUCUUACGCAAGGGAUUUCAUUCCAGCCAACCUUGAUCAUAUUCCAACUCCAAAAACAGCUAAGGUUUGGCCUCAUCUUGAGCAUAUCGCAAAUGAAAUCGCUCCUUUACAAAGUUGUGAUGUUGGCCUUCUGAUUGGCUACAAUUGCCCACAAGCACUUGUUCCCCGAGAAAUAGUUUCAGGGAAAGAAAAUCAACCAUUUGGGCAAAGAACAGAUUUGGGAUGGAGUAUAGUUGGCUUCGGCAAUCCAAGUCUUGAUUAUGGCGAUGCAAUCGGUGUAAGCCACCAAAUCAUCGUGAAGCAAGUAAUGCCAAGCAUUCAACCAUCUUCAAGUCUCACCAGUCAAGUCCACUAUGUCUGUAGAACUCAGAUAAAAGAAAUGGUCACACCUGCAGAUGUCAUAAAGAUGCUGGAGUCAGAUUUUGUUGAAAAAACUACACAGGACAUACAACUCUCACAAGAAGACAUCAGAUUUAUGGCAAAAUUGAAAGAAGGUAUCAAACACAAAGAAAAUGGACAUUAUGAGAUGCCACUUCCAUUCAAAAAUGAAAAACCUGAUUUACCCAACAACAAAGAAUGUGCCAUCCAUCGUCUCAGAUGCUUGGAAAGAAAGCUGAAAAGAAACAUGCAGUUUUACAAGGACUACAAAAAGUUCAUGGAUGAAAUCAUAGCCCAUGGCGACGCUGAAAGAGUUCCUGAAAAAGACAGUGAUAAGACACCAGCUUGGUAUAUCCCACAUCACGGGGUGUAUCAUCCACAAAAGCCAGGUAAAAUUCGUGUCGUCUUUGAUGCCUCCGCCAAAUUCAAAGGUACCUGUCUAAAUGACCAUUUGUUGACAGGCCCAGAUUUAACCAACACCUUGCUUGGAGUCUUAUGUCGUUUCCGUAAAGGUCAUGUGGCAUUUAUGUGUGACAUUGAACGCAUGUUCCAUCAGUUUCAUGUGUGUGCCAAUGACCAGGACUAUCUAAGAUUCUUGUGGUGGGAGAAUGGCGAUGUGGAAGCACCGGUUGUCAUUUACCGGAUGAAAGUACACCUUUUUGGUGCAGCUUCCUCCCCCGGUUGCGCCAAUUAUGGACUCAAGCACCUAGCCUCUGAAGGUGAAGGACAUUUCAGUGACGACACCAUCAAGUUCAUUAAAACCAACUUCUAUGUCGAUGAUGGGUUGGCAAGUGUUGACACUGAACCUCAGGCUAUUGAGCUAGUAAAAGAGGCACGUGAGCUAUGCAGCAAAGGCAAACUUCGUUUGCACAAAUUCAUCUCCAACAGCACCAAAGUCCUAGCUACGCUCCCAAGUGAAGAAUGUGUUGUAGCAGCCAAAGACUUGGAUAUGGCACUAGGUGAAAUGCACAUAGAAAGAGCGCUUGGCGUGCAGUGGUGUGUUGAGUCGGAUGAGUUUCAAUUCAGGAUUGUCGUCAAGAAAAAUCCACUCACACGAAGAGGAGUUUUGUCCACAGUUGCGUCAGUAUUUGACCCACUGGGAUUUGUGUCGCCCUUUAUCCUGCUGGGAAAACAGAUCCUGCAACAAAUGUGUCGGGAUAAACUCAGUUGGGAUGACCCCUUACCAGACAGUUUGAGACCUCAUUGGGAAUCAUGGCUUCUUGACCUACAAAAUCUGGUGAAAGUUAAAGUCCAAAGAUGCUACACACCAUCAAGCUUCAAGGUUCAGCACUAUGAACUCCAUCAUUUCUCCGAUGCAAGUGUAUCUGGAUAUGGAAUGUGUUCCUACCUUAGAGCAGUAGGCACAGCUGGAGAAGUUCAUUGUUCCUUAGCAAUGGGGAAAUCAAGAGUGCCACCUUCUAAGGUCACAACCAUACCACGACUUGAGUUGUCAGCAGCUGUAGUGGCUGUUCGUACUGGUGACAUGUUGAAAAGAGAGCUGGAAAUUACACUGUCAAAAGAAGUGUACUGGACAGACUCCAAAGUUGUACUCGGGUACAUCAACAAUGAAGCCAGAAGAUUCCACGUUUUUGUUGCAAACCGUAUAGAACGUAUCAAACAAAGUACAGAGUCAACGCAAUGGAGCUAUGUGGUCUCUGAAGAAAAUCCAGCAGAUCAUGCGUCAAGAGGGUUGACAGCAGAACAGCUCCAAAGGUCAAAUUGGUUCACAGGCCCUGCUCUUCUCUGGCAGAAAGUUGUGCCCAGUGUUGAAGUCAAGGUGGGAGAGCUAUCUGUUUGUGACCCAGAAGUUAAAAAUGUUCAAGUUCUGAACACUCAAGCAAAUGAACAAAGGUCACUUCUUGAUCGCCUUUGCAAAUUUUCCAACUGGUCAAGAAUGAUUAAAGCUAUUGCCAGACUUAAACGAUUCCUGAAGGACAAAAAGAAUCCCAGGAAAGGAUCCAGUCAAGCAAGUACUCUUCAAGACAGAAAGGAAGCAGAGGUACUGAUCUUAAAACUGGUCCAAGACACAGCAUUUUCUCAUGUUAUGCAGUCGCUUAAACAUUCAAAGACAAUGCAGACUGAAGACAAAGUCAACAAGCUGCACAAGUUAUGCCCAUUCAAAGAUGACCAAGGCAUUCUUCGAGUUGGAGGACGUCUUACACAUGCCACUUUAGAUUCUCACGUUAAGCAUCCAGUGAUUCUUCCAAGAAAAGGUCAUGUGUCAUCGCUGCUUGCUAAACAUUAUCAUGAAAGAGCAUACCAUCAAGGAAGAGGUAUCACAGUAAAUGAACUUCGUUCCAAUGGCUAUUGGAUUCUCGGUUGCAGUAAGCUUGUAUCAUCACUCAUCUUCAAAUGUGUGAAGUGCAGAAAAUUCAGGAGACGCACAGAACAACAGAUAAUGGCAGAUCUCCCUGAAGAACGAAUGGAGACCAGUCCACCGUUCACAUAUUGUGGGAUGGACUCCUUUGGUCCUUUCUACAUCAAAGACGGUAGAAAGGAGUUGAAGCGCUAUGGUUUGGUAAUCACCUGCAUGUGUUCCCGAGCCAUACAUAUUGAAAUGCUGGAAGAUUUGAGUACAGAUGCCUUUAUCAACGCCCUACGUGCAUUCAUUGCCAUUCGAGGUCCAGUUCGACAGAUAAGGUGUGAUCAAGGCACAAAUUUCAUCGGUGCCAGAAAUGAGUUUGUGGACGCAUUCAAAGAAAUGGAUCAAGGCCAAUUGGAAAGACUUGAAUGCGAAUUUGUCAUGAAUACCCCAGCAUCAAGUCAUAUGGGAGGUGUAUGGGAACGGCAAAUUCGCACGAUAAGAAGCGUGCUUGGAUCCAUCCUCGAACAAUCUGGAAAACAACUAGAUGGGCCAUCACUCCGCACAUUCCUGUAUGAAGUAAUGGCAAUUGUCAAUAGCAGACCACUUACAACGGACCAUCUGUGUGAUCCAUCAGGCCCAGAACCCCUAACACCGAACCACAUACUCACGAUGAAAUCAACGAUCAUUGCACCACCUCCAGGGAAAUUUGUAAGAGAGGAUCUUUAUCUUAGAAAAAGAUGGCGUCGUGUUCAGCUCUUAGCAAAUACUUUCUGGACGAGGUGGAGAAAGGAGUAUGUCCUCAAUCUUCAAAGAAGACAGAAAUGGACUAAGGAACGCAGAAAUGCCCAAGUCAAUGAUAUUGUGCUUCUACAAGAUGACUUAAGCGCACGCAACCAGUGGAAAUUGGCAAAAAUUGUGGAAGUGUAUCCUGGACAAGAUGGAAGAGUGAGGAAAGUGAAAUUACUCAUGAGUGAUUCAACUCUGGAUAGUAGCGGGAAACGCAUCUUGAAACCUGUCUACCUUGAAAGGCCGAUUCAGAAGACAGUGACACUUCUAGAAGCCGAAUGAUAUUGUCCAGCCUCACUCAUUGCCAUUAAAAUGUUUAUUUAAUAUAACUUCAAAUAGUUCAUAGUUGUUAUAAAAGUUCAGACCUUUAGUCACGCAAAGUAAUCACAAGUGAUUGGUGGGAGUGUUACAGUCUCUCAUAUUCUCAUUUAUUUUAUUUGCACUUGCACCUUUCCGCCAUCUGGUGGUGAUUUGUGAAUAGGAACUUAAUUAGAGAAUAACUGUUCUACUCGAUGCUUUUUGGAUGACGCAAUCAUUAAGCGAGGGAGAAGAAAAGGCGAGCGAGCGGUCGGAUGGUAGCUAACUCCGUGCUGCUCUUUUUUGGUUGUUCAAACUCCUAAAAAGACUGCAUUAAGAAGUUUGGAGAAGAACUUUUUAGCUCCUUAUGGAUGUGAGCCCACGAGUUCUCACGGGUUGCCAAGGCUUUUCAAGAGUUGUCAAGAGCGAAUUAAACCCUGUUUUUUAAUCAAACUUCGUGUCGUGCUCGUUGCAACAUCCGGAGGGAGCUUCACUACCUGUACCCCGAUCGGCA